GCAGAUUAGUGGUGAGAUAACAAACUAACACCAGGAAAGGCUCCCGGCUCUCUCCAUGCCCAUGGACGUGGACAUCGGCAUGCCCACAACAGAAACAAGACUCCCAAGGAUGGACUUCUAGAAUGAAGCCUGCAACAAAGUGAGCAGAUUUGCACCCAGUCUCUCCACCAGAUGAACCAGGACUGUUUUCAGACAGAAGUGGUCCUGCAGCUAAAAAAAGCAGUGCUCUCUCUCAAGGGUGAUGAUCAUAACUCAGAGAUGGUACUGAAUUCCAAGAUCCACUCCUGUAGCUGCAUGAAGUUCAUCAGACCAUCAGACCUGCCAAGCCAUGAAACCUCUGCCAGUUUCUUUCAUGCCAAGUUUGCAGAACACCUGCCAGAGUGUGUUCUUUGCCAAUAAACAGGAUCCAUGUCCCUGAACAGAUGCACGGAUGCUUUCCUCAAUAUCCCACCCACCUGAUCAGGAAGCAGAACUAAGGGGUGAUGAGACUUCAGUACUCUCCUUGCUAUUAGGUGCAAUAAACCUCCACCUCUAGUGAGGAGAUUGCA
rnacentral:lncRNA from 1 species